UACGAAGGGGGCAAGCGUUGUCCGGAAUUACUGGGCGUAAAGCGCGUGUAGGUGGUGGGACAAGUCUGCUGUGAAAGCGCCUGGCUUAACCGGGCGAGGUCGGCGGAAACUGUCCGACUCGAGGACGGUAGAGGGGGGUGGAAUUCCCGGUGUAGUGGUGAAAUGCGUAGAGAUCGGGAGGAACACCUGUGGCGAAGGCGGCCCCCUGGGCCGGCCCUGACACUGAGACGCGAAGGCGUGGGGAGCGAACGGG
rnacentral:rRNA from 1 species